rnacentral:lncRNA from 1 species
CUGCCGCCAAGCUGCCCCGAGCGCCUCCCUCGCGGGCCGCGUCGCAGCCUGCCGCCGCCUCGCGCAGCUUUGCGGCCGACGACCGCCCCCACCUCGCAGGCCGACCUCCUCCCAAGCUCCCCCCGCGACCAGCACCUCCCUGGCCUGCUGCUCCUAGCCGAGCCGCUCCUUGCUCCUCGCAUGGUGCUGCUGCUGUUCUUGCGGCCCAGCUCGCCCAAGCCCAGCCGAGCCUCCUCCUUGGCCCAUCUUCUCUGGCCCGUCUCCAAGCCCAGCAAGCCCAGGCCCGUGUCCUUUUUCCUUUGUUUUAUUUCUUUUCCUGAAAUUGAUGCCUCACGUGUGGGCCCUGCUGGUCAGCGCCUCCGUGUGCUCGUUGUUGUGCUGCUAUUGCCGCUGC